GCCGUCACCGAACAGAUCGCCCCCGCCCCCGCCACUCAUCCCCCUCCCGCGGCGGUUGGGCCCUUCCAACCAAUGGCGGAGCUCCGGUACAGUUGUGGAGCGAGUUUUCACUUCGCACCCGCUUCGGAUCGACGGAAAGAUCCGAGUUGAGCGACACAGUUAGUUUAGCACACACCUUGUGGUUAACUGUAGCGUGUACAGUUCAUGCUUAUUUAUAUCUCUAUUACACUGUAGUUGUAAUUUAAUAUUACAGAAAAUGUCAUGGGAUUAUUCUUACACGUUGAUGAAUGUAAAAACAGCAACUUUUAGCAGUUACGCUUAUAUUUAUAGUUUAUUUAUAAAAGUAUUUAUAAAAAAUGCUGUUAUAAGAUAAGAGAUAAUAAGAGAAAUACACCUACAACUAAUUGUGCUUUAGUCAAUUUACUUUGUUAUUCACUGUUCGUUGUUAUUUUUUACUCAAGUAAAACAAUUGCAUUCUUUGUAAAUCAUUGUGAAUAACAACAUUUUUAAUUAUGGGUCUCUAUAUGUUUAAUCAGUUUACAGCUUUAAAACUAAAUAUGUAAUCUGCUUCAUCUUUAUGACACGAGGGAGAGACAAUUAUUAUGGAGGGAUUUCACCGUUCUUCUCUGAGUGAAAACACCCCACUUGGAUCUUGUGUCUUUGGGCAUCAUGUUUGCCUUUGACCCGCUCCCUCCCCCCACAUAAUGACUUAAUCAAAUCAGCCUAUUUGCCAAUCCAAUACAUUAAAUUAGAUAACCUCAAAUAAGCAAGAAUCAUUGUCAGAUUUAUCCCAGAAAGAUGUAGCGGUUUUGUCGCUUUCACGUGAUGGAAAUCAUGUUGAAAGUUGAAGUGUUCACCACUAGGUGAAGCUAUAACUUAGCGUAAGUCUUUGGUUCUGGAUGGAAGUGGAUGGAAAAGAUUUAACAUUCAGUGGAGUUCAGUACGUGACUGAUUUGCCUUUUACGUUUCAAGUUACCGACCUGUACCAAAUUUCUACUUCACACAACAAAUUUAAUUUAUAUUAUUAUUAUUAUAAUAAUCCAGACAUUAGGACACUGUACGAAAAUCUUAAAUAAGUAAAUUAAAUAUGGCUGAAUUCCAUUUAGCUGCUUCAGUUUCAGGGUCCUCAUAUUUUUUAUGCUGGGUAAGCAUCACACUGUCACCGAGAACCGAGCCACCAUUAAUGCUUUAGGUAACACUUGGGCUUCAUCCGUCAGGGCCCCUGUUACUCAAUUAUGGUGCUAUACCGCAAAUAUUGAUUGUGAUCCAGUCCUGUCUUCACAGGCUCUCAGCAGGCCAAACUGCCAACUUUCCACUCCAUGCGUGUUUUAUAUUGUGCAAUCUAUUCAAAAUGCGUCAUAACACCAACGAAUAUCAACAUGUGGUUGCCAUAACCUCACCGUUUAAUCCACUCAAUGUUGUCUUGAGUUGUCUUUUAUGACAUUAUUGGACACACGAAGGGACAUUUAGCGUCAAUCAACCUUCAUGGAGAUUCACUUAGGCAGGCAGACUAUUUAAAAUAGUCGCCGCCUGUUGCUGCAGAGUUUCUGUGAUUACCAGCCCACUCUUUUACUACUGCGAAGUCAUGAAUGACCCAAACAGGAAUGUGGGUCCUCGACAUCAGAUGAGGCGCUGUAUCACCACGCCUGCUUCCAAUUAACCCUCUUGCAGGGUCUCUUUUAAAGCCCAAAAUAACUUCACACAGUCACGGGUGUAGGACUACCCUGAGGUUCCUCUUUAAAUGAAGCAGAGGUCAAAGGUGAUUGGGAAGUAGGCUUCCUGUUUCAGUUGGAAUACUUGAACUCCUCAGAGAGCCGUGGGUCGCAGAGGGAAUGAGCGUCUGUGAGAGGCCCACACAUUUCACAGCCUGAGUCACACUCGGUGGCUCGGAGGACGCCCUGAGUGAGUGAGUUUGAGAGUAAAGUGUAUUGGUUUGAACUUAUUCAAAGGGCGGACAGGAAUUCCUGCAGUUAAAACACCAGUUAGUGCGGUAAGAAAUAAUACAAAACAAUAACAAAUAGACUUCACAGGACUACGGGGAAAUGGUAGCGCUAUCUACAAUCCGACGAUGGAGGCGAGAUCCGGCAGGUCGUCUGACACACGGGGCCGGCAGCCCGCUCCGACACGCCGAGGUGGUUGGUGGGAGAGAGGCACCGCAGCGACGGGCUGGAUAUCAUGUCGAGUGUGACUCACGCUCAGCUGCUCCCUUGAUUCCUUGCGGGCCUCGGAGCCACAGUUUGACCAAAAAAAUUUAACGUGCUGAUGUCUGCCUGGAAUCAGCCAGCCCGCACGAGAAAAAACCUCUAUGUGUCAUCCAGACAGGAGACGAGAUGCUUCAGAUAUGAAGAUCUGACAACAACAGCCGAGAGGCCACUGAUCAAGCAGCUGUUAUGAGUUUGGAGCGACAAUGUGGAACAAACACUUCUUUCAGUAGCGAAACAGUACAUAAAUCUCAUCUCUAUUUCCUGCGGUACACUUUAAGUGGUAGUACAUUUAAGCCAGCCUUUGGUGUUUGUUCAUCUGCAUACGAUUUACUGUUGUUGCCCUGAGGUGAACCAUACAUGUUUAUUUCUCUUAA